UUUAUUUAAAAAUUAAGGAAAGUGGAGCUGUUCAAAUCUGUACUUGAGUACAACGGAUUGUCCGAUUCAACAUAGGUUGAUGUGCGUAGUAAUAGAAAAAAAUGACUUCUUGUUCUUUUAUAUAUUUGACAUUGUAUUGCAUGUUUCAAAUAAUUUCUGUAUGUAUUAAAAAAAAAUAUAUAUUUUUUUUGUUGUGUUAAUUAGUUAUUUAAUUUAAGAGGUUGACUUAUUAUUGGCAUUUCUAAAUUAUUGACUUGAAUUUAAUAAAAUUUAAUCGGUUAUGAAUAUUAUAUAUGUGUGUGUAAUUUGAUAUAAAUAUCCUAUGUUAUUAUUU